rnacentral:rRNA from 1 species
CCUACGGGUGGCAGCAGUGGGGGAUACUGCACAAUGGGCGCAAGCCUGAUGCAGCCAUGCCGCGUGUAUGAAGAAGGCCUUCGGGUUGUAAAGUACUUUCAGCGGGGAGGAAGGCGAUAAGGUUAAUAACCUUGUCGAUUGACGUUACCCGCAGAAGAAGCACCGGCUAACUCCGUGCCAGCAGCCGCGGUAAUACGGAGGGUGCAAGCGUUAAUCGGAAUUACUGGGCGUAAAGCGCACGCAGGCGGUCUGUCAAGUCGGAUGUGAAAUCCCCGGGCUCAACCUGGGAACUGCAUUAGAAACUGGCAGGCUGGAGUCUUGUAGAGGGGGGUAGAAUUCCAGGUGUAGCGGUGAAAUGCGUAGAGAUCCGGAGGAAUACCGGUGGCGAAGGCGGCCCCCUGGACAAAGACUGACGCUCAGGUGCGAAAGCGUGGGGAGUAAACAGGAUUAGAUACCCCUGUAGUC